rnacentral:misc_RNA from 1 species
UAGCACCAGCGCGCCAGCGACCGAGCGUGUGAGCUCACUCAAACGGCUCAAACGCGCCAGUUCAGUUCGCAUAUACAAAGUUUCCAGAAAACGCAUACAAACAUACAUAUGUGCGAAUGUUUGCGCGUUUGCGAAGUGUAGUGGAGUGAAGUGACCGACUAGAGCAGCGACAGACAUCACAGUGGGUUUCUGUAGUAAAUAGAAGGAGCAGCAGCUGGUUAAUAGUCGAUCUGUCAAAGCCACCAGACAGUGUGCUCAACGCGUCAGUCCGACAGCCAGGCGAUCCGUUGGACACACACGGAGCUAGACAGUGGCGGAGUGAGGUAAGCUGACAGUAGCGUCAGGAAAGAAACAGUCAGUCACAGUGUAGUAGCUGGCGGCUGUAGGGAGCAGCAGCAGCAACAGCAGCUAGAUCCGUUCGGGCAGCCACUCGUGCAGUUAGCCAGUUAGCACGCCAACUAAACAACCAACCAACCAACCAACCUACCAACCAGCCAACCAACUAAGCAACUAAGCAGCCAUGCAGGCAGGCAGCGAGCCAGUGAGCUAGUGAGCCAGCCAGCCAACGAGCCAGUUAGCUAGUCGGCCAGGCGUCAGUCAGCCACCGCAUAUUCGCACACUCAGCGAACGCAGCGCAACACAUGCAAAAAGUUACUCGCUUGCAACGAACGAGACGCGACACGCAGCGGCUAAGAACGGAUCGCAUUAGCGGCAAUUGGCUAUAGCAGCAGCGGCAGUAAAUAGCUCUAAACAUAAGAAAGAUUAGCGGCGGUUGAAAUUUUCGAAAAAAGAAAGGCGGAAAGAAAGAUUUUUUAUUUGCUUGUUAGUGAGUGGCGAAAUAGUAGAACUGUUUUUAGUGAAAAGUUUUCGUAAAAAAAAAUGCAACAUUCUUUUGGAAAAUUGGAAAAGCUACGUCAGUACGCAAAGUGAACCGGAAAAAGUAUUUUGAGUAUGGCGAAAAUAAGGCAAAGCGGGAAAUGCCAGUAAACGUUGUGCGCAUAGCGGAAGUAUGGCAGUGAGAAAGUGCGAUGAAUAUUAAUUUACUAAAAUGAUCAGAAUUCGCUAACGUGAGCACACAAAUCGACAUUAUAACUAAAUAAGAAUUAAAAGAAAAGAAAAAAAUUACUAGUGAAAAAAACCAAGCAGAAAGAAGCUACAACAACAAAACUACAAAAAAUAUCGUCAGAAUACAGGUACUGCGGAAGAAAAGUGGAAAUUAAGCAAAAAAUUACAUGCGAGAGUAAAAAAAAUAAACAAUUUACAAAUUAAAGAUAUAAAAAUUAAAAAAAAAAUACAAAUUGUGAAUGUAUUAAAUCCAAAAAAAAGAAACUGUUUCGAUGAAGACAAAUUAUUAAAAAAAAAUUUACACACUUGUGAAAUUGUGAAAAUUCAGAAAACUUGCAAAAAAAAAUAAAUAAAAGGAAAAAAAUGAGUUCAACUUGAGAGAAAAAAAUGAUAAAAAGUUGAAAUUAAUUUAAAAAUGUGCAGAAAAAUUGACCAAAAAAAUUGCGAUAAAAGUGAACAAAAUCGAAAAGUUACUGCUUCGCUGUCAAAAAUCGCCACUAAAAAGAGCAGGAUUGUUAAAAACAAAAUCAUAUAUUAAAUCUUCAAGAAACCCGGAUUUGACGACAACAGCGCACAGACAUUACUGAUACGAGUGUUGUGAUUGGUUGGAAAAAAUUUUCCGUCGAAAGCAAAAAAAUUCAAGAAUUCACUUUUUUUUCAUUUUUCGGUAAAAAUUUUGCUGUGAAAAAAAAAAAAUUGUUAAACACUAAAAACACUUGCUGCUUUCAUACAUAUAUACAUUGCUGUGCUUUAAAAAAAAAAUAUUAACACAUCAGAAAAAAUACUAGCUACUAGUUUUUGUUGUUAAUUUUUGUUUUUGCCAAAAAAAAAAAAAAACGCUGCUCUUCAUGAACAAAACUCACACGCCCACAAAAAUAUGGACUUUUACAUUAAGAAAAAAAUUAUAAUAAAUUGUUUACUCGUUAAAACUGCAACUCUGCGACACGUUGAAAACACCGAAAAAAAUUGUAAAACAUUAAAAAAUUCUGUUUUCGCCCAAAAAAAGUAAAAAUAAUAAUAAACAACAAGACAAAAAGCGCAGACUGAGUGACGAAGAAAGCUGGAGAAAGCAAAAAAUAGUAUUGUAUUGUAUGUAUAUAUAUAUUGCCAACAACAGCGCACAGCUCAAAAAGGUGUUUAUUUAAUUACAACUAUUGUUGUUGUUGUUAUUUUACGUUAUCAAAUAGGCGAAAAAAUUGCAAUCAGAUUUCGUUGUUGUUGGCUGCCAUAUUACACAUUUGCAAAUAUUUGUGCACAAAGUGUUUGAACGUGGUUAGCGCACUUUAUUUAUAAUAAAAAAUUUACAAUAAAAAUUUUCAAAAAAUUAUUUUCAAAAAUUUUAAUCAGUGUGUGUGCUCAUGAAAAUUAUGACUUUGGAUUCCUUAAAAAGCAAUUGAAAAUAAAUCCAAAAAAAUUAAUAUAAAAAAAUACGUUAAAUUCACUGUACUCUUUUUUAUAUACUUGUUCUCAAAUACCAAAAUAACUGUUUUGUUUUUCGUUAACAUAUGUUUGUGUGGCGCGUGUGUUAGAUUUACGUUCCGUUUUAAUUUUUACAAAUGGAUUGCAAUUGCACUUCAAAAACUGGAUGGUUUAUCGUAGCUUUCGUAGCCAAGUGCAUUGAAACAACAACAACAACAAUAACAGCAGCAGCAAUAAAAACACGAAAAUCAACAACAACGCCAACAGUGAAAGCAUUUCAAUUAUUAAAUACAGCUGAUAAUAAUACUACGAAAGCUAAAGCUUUGAAAGCAGUUAGCAGCAACAGCAGCAGCAGCAUUUUGACAGGAAGCGUGUGGUCGUUUGUCGUCAUACUGAAUUGCUUUUAAAUUAUUUUUACUUUAUGUGAAUUUCCAUUCAAAAACCCAAACCGAGUCAAAAUUCCAAAUUCAUACUCAACGUCGUCUACGCGUUGAAAGCUCUGGAGAAAAAUACACAAAUACGAACUCACUCGAAACACGCAUUCAGCGCGCGGUAAAACAAGAAAACAAAAAUAACUUUGGCCUUUUCCCUUCUACAUAACAUAUUCGAAUCAUAACGGCAAAAAAAGUGUUCAAACAACUAUAGUGAGUAGAAAUUACUUAAAAGCAUUAACGGUAAUUAUAACGGCAAGUAAUAUAAACAUUUCAUGAAAACUCAAAGCGGAUAUACAUUUUGGAAGCUUAAAAAACGACUAUAAAAACCUAAACUUCUCGGCAAUUACCAAAAAAAAAAAACAGGCAUACGCAGUUACCGAAGUGAAAGCGCAUUUUAAAUGAAAAUUUUCAAUAGCGACAUACGAAAAAUUAAAAAGUUAAAGUUUUUGUUAAAAUCAAGCAGAUUUGCAUUCUGAUUAUUUUAGUGAAAGCACAGCUCGCAAUUGAAAGUUCAUAAAUGUUAAACUUUUUUGACGAAAGCUCCUGGAUAGAGUUUUUUUAAAUAAAAUUUAAUAAAUUCAAGUCGAAAUUCAAAAGCUCUCUGAAUUUCACAUAUUUCCGCAACCCAACUCUAAAAGCUCGUACAGCCAACUCUGCCUUUCUGUGUUUUAAAUUUUCUCCUGUGUGUCAGUGUUUAUCUUCCUUCAUUAAAGAAAUUAAAUCAUAAAACAAAACAAUUAUUAUUUCAAAAGAAAAAAGUGAAAUUAGUAAGUGUGUUCGCAAAUUCCGCAAAAAGAGGCAAAAGCAUUUUGUGUAAUAUAUAACAAAUUCUAAAGAAAAUUUGAAAUAACAACAACAAAAACUGCAAAAGUAACGAUUACAUACAUAUAUAAAAAAAAAUCUGCAACCAAGCACAACAACAGCAACAACACCAAAACGGCAAGACGGCCAAACAAAAUAUUUAUCUUAUGGAUUGCUGGACGGGUAACGCCCGACUGGCGAGUGUUUUAGUUUAAGGUGAGUCAUUUGAUUUAGUUGAGUCAUAACUGGGAAAUAAAUAUAAAUAAGUGAGUAUGAAUCGUAAAUGGCCAAAACUGCGCAUGCGUAUUUUUCACAUGCCACUUAUGCAACACUGGCGGAGUCUAAGUUUAGUUUUGCGAAAACAUAAAGUCUGCCGCAACUCCACAAAAGAAACAAAAAAAAUCCACAAAAAUAUUAUUUUCGUACUUAAGUACGAAUUUUCUCACACCUACGCUGGCGAAGACAGCCCAAAGCUUGUAUACACAUAUAUAGAUACGAGUACAUACAUAUAACAUAGCGCACUCUGUAGUCAUAGUUGCCGUAAAAUGUGGCACGGUUGGCGCUGUAACUUCAUACAUAGCAUUUCACACGCAGCUGUGGCGGCUGUAGAAGACGCAUAAACCCACACAUUUAACUAAAUAAUAUAUGUGCAUGUAUGUAUAUGGUCUCUUGUAUAUUCUACGUGCCCGUUGUGUGCAUUUUCGUGGCUUGCAACGUUAAUUGACAGCGGCAAAAGGCGCACCAACAGUCACUACCAACCAAAUAACGGCUGCUGUGCAUUUUAAAUUCAAAUAAGCCGCACAAUGCCGCACAUGUGCAUACGUAUAUACACAUUUGUAUGGCAGCUAUACGUCUUCUGCUUGCGUGAAUGCCACGUUUAUUCGUUUCUUUUUUUGGUUUUUGGUUAUUUCUUCUUUUUUGACUUGCCAUUCGACAUUUCUAUGAAUUUUCGGUAAAUUUAUACGCAGUUUGACAUUUGACUGCCUUUCGGCGACGGCGGUAAGCUGCUGUAUAACUACUACAUGAAAUAAUAACAACAACAAAACUACUAACAACUCAAAACAACAACAAUGCAUGGAAAAAAUGGCAAAAUCUUCGUACGUAUGCAAUAUGCCACCUCCAUAUGCACGCAUACAUAUGCAUGUAUGCAUACGCCUCUAUUACAUCACCAUCAGAAUCAUCAUCAUAUCCUCGUACAUAUAUGUACAUCGCAUAUGUAUGUAGCUGUCUGUCAUAAUCAAUUAUGCCAUUGACAGCCAUCCAUUAAGCAGUGGAGCUUUUCAAUAGUUAU